rnacentral:rRNA from 1 species
AGUCGUACGAGGACGGUCUUCGGACCGAGCCGAGUGGCGGACGGGUGAGUAACACGUGACUAAUCUGCCUUCGAGAGGGGGAUAACCUGGGGAAACCCGGGCUAAUACCGCGUGAAGUGUCGUGCUCGCAUGGGCGUGACACCAAAGGGAGGCCUCUAUUUAUAAGCUUUCGCUCGAAGAGGAGGUCGCGGCGUAUCAGCUAGUUGGUAGGGUAACGGCCUACCAAGGCGACGACGCGUAGCGGGUCUGAGAGGACGACCCGUCACAUUGGGACUGAGAUACGGCCCAGACUCCUACGGGAGGCAGCAGUGGGGAAUAUUGCGCAAUGGUCGAAAGACUGACGCAGCGACGCCGCGUGUGGGAGGAAGCCCUUCGGGGUGUAAACCACUGUCGGGAGGGACGAAUGGCGGACGGGCAAAUAGCCCGGACGAUUGACGGUACCUCCAAAGGAAGCACCGGCUAACUCCGUGCCAGCAGCCGCGGUAAGACGGAGGGUGCAAGCGUUGUUCGGAAUUACUGGGCGUAAAGCGCGGGCAGGUGGUCUUUUAAGUCCUUUGUGAAAUCCCGGGGCUCAACUCCGGAUGUGCAUAGGAUACUGGACGACUUGAGACUGGUAGAGGCGAGCGGAAUUCCUGGUGUAGCGGUGGAAUGCGUAGAUAUCAGGAAGAACACCGGUGGCGAA